UCGCUGCUGGGGACACAUCAAAACCUCUAAGGAGUGAGACAUCGCUGCUGAGGACAAAAACACAGGAAGGCAAACUAAGAAUCUAAAGGUCUAAAAGUGGAGAUGAGGAAAACUUAAUGCUGCUGGAGACCAACUGGAUCUAGAAUAGAACAGUGACACAGCUUGUUAAGGUCAUCAGUUGAACUGUUCUCUGGGAUGAUGGUGAGAAGGUAAAGACGAUGCUUGGAGGGACUAGUUGAUUUCAGAGCAGUUUGAGGCAGAGGACAGGACUGAUGGAAGGAUGUGGGUUGUGAGUGACUGCGAUUAUUAGAACCCGCUUUCAGCUGUGAGUUGAUCUAGUUCUAGAUGUUCCUCUGGUCAGUUGGUGAAAGAACCCUCUGCAGACAUACUCUCCAUGUGAUCUAGGCCAGUUCUGACCACAGUGGAUCUCUUCUGUGUUUUCUGAAUCCCAUGUCGGACCGAGCCGCUACAAGAUGCUGAUGAGAUCUACGGCGACCAAACCAGAGGAGCAGUAAACAGUGAGAGCAUGUUCAACACUGUGGACGUCCAAAAGCAGAACUCCUGUGAGGAACCGGGACCUCCAGGAUGCUGAGGAGCCUCCCAGUCCCCACCUGAGGACGGCACAGAGGAAAACACCUGGAGGAAAGAAGGUUCAAUAUGGAAGCAGCGUUCUAGCAGUCGGAUCUCCGUGGAACAGACUCCAUCCACAUGUGUUUGAAGGUAUGUUGGUUGUUUGACUAGAGAGGAAUCACAUGCAGACAGUUUCAGACUCUGAGG